AGUCAGAGCGGUAGAGAGAAGCUUGCUUCUCUUGAGAGCGGCGGACGGGUGAGUAAUGCCUAGGAAUCUGCCUGGUAGUGGGGGAUAACGCUCGGAAACGGACGCUAAUACCGCAUACGUCCUACGGGAGAAAGCAGGGGACCUUCGGGCCUUGCGCUAUCAGAUGAGCCUAGGUCGGAUUAGCUAGUUGGUGAGGUAAUGGCUCACCAAGGCGACGAUCCGUAACUGGUCUGAGAGGAUGAUCAGUCACACUGGAACUGAGACACGGUCCAGACUCCUACGGGAGGCAGCAGUGGGGAAUAUUGGACAAUGGGCGAAAGCCUGAUCCAGCCAUGCCGCGUGUGUGAAGAAGGUCUUCGGAUUGUAAAGCACUUUAAGUUGGGAGGAAGGGCAGUAACCUAAUACGUUGCUGUCUUGACGUUACCGACAGAAUAAGCACCGGCUAACUCUGUGCCAGCAGCCGCGGUAAUACAGAGGGUGCAAGCGUUAAUCGGAAUUACU
rnacentral:rRNA from 1 species